rnacentral:rRNA from 1 species
AUAACCUGCCCUUUGUUCCGGCAUAACCUCGGGAAACUGAGGAUAAUUCCGGAUAACUCUUUUUGGCCGGAAAGCAUUAAGAGUAGAUGGGUCUGCGGCCUAUCAGGUAGUAGUGGGUGUAACGCACCCUCUAGCCGACAACGGGUACGGGUUGUGAGAGCAAGAGCCCGGAGAUGGAUUCUGAGACAUGAAUCCAGGCCCUACGGGGCGCAGCAGGCGCGAAAACUUUACAAUGCAGGAAACUGUGAUAAGGAAACACCUAAAUCGCAUGUGUUAGCAAGGGCCGGGCAAUACCGGUGCCAGCCGCCGCGGUAAUACCGGUGGCCCGAGUGGUAGCCGCUUUUAUUUGGUCUAAAGGGUCCGUAGCCGGUUCGGGCAGUCUAUUGGUAAAUUCGAAUGCCCAACAUUCGAUCUUUCAGUGGAUACUUCCGGACUAGGAACCGGGAGAGGUAAGAGGUACUGUAGGGGUAGGAGUGAAAUCUUGUAAUCCCUAUGAGACCACCUGUGGCGAAGGCGUCUUACCGGAACGGG